rnacentral:snRNA from 1 species
AUACUUACCUGGCAGGGGAGAUACCAUGAUCACGAAGGUGGUUUUCCCAGGGCGAGACUUAUCCAUUGCACUCCAGAUGUGCUGACCCCUGUGAUUUCCCCAAAUGUGGGAAACUUGACUGCAUAAUUUGCGGUAGUGGGGGACUGCGUUCACACUCUCCCCUG